CGGCGGAUCGUGCCAAGGUAUCCGCGACAUUUCAUAAACACGAAAUCAAUUUUAAUCCUCGCCGAGUGAGGCUGUCCUCCUCGCCUGGUCUGAACGGUGCUUAUUUAUAAGCACAACCGGGCCACUUCCUGCACGGGAUCAUGCCGCGAAUCUCGCAUCCUUGUGAUCGCUUUGUAACCGGGGAACAUCGCACGUUAAUAGACUGUGUGUUGUAUAUUUGUCUUUCUGUACAUUCAUUGCGAGAUUAUCACGGGAAAUGGCAAACUUUGUGACGAUACUGGAGUGCAAUUCAAGGUCAUCCAUUAACCAGAAAAUUCUAUAAUCAUGAAAUUGGAGG